UACGGAGGAUGCAAGCGUUAUCCGGAAUUAUUGGGCGUAAAGCGUCCGUAGGUGGCAUUUCAAGUCUGCCGUUAAAGCCCGGAGCUUAACUUUGGAAAAGCGGUGGAAACUGAGAAGCUAGAGGGCGGUAGGGGUAGAGGGAAUUCCCAGUGUAGCGGUGAAAUGCGUAGAGAUUGGGAAGAACACCGGUGGCGAAAGCGCUCUACUGGGCCGUAACUGACACUCAGGGACGAAAGCUAGGGGAGCGAAAGGG
rnacentral:rRNA from 1 species